rnacentral:rRNA from 1 species
AUGCUCACAGUAAAAAAGGAGAUGGAGGUAGAGGAAAAGCAAGAGAAGGGAUCAAGGUGGAUGGAGGUCAAGGCCUUGGAGGAGCGCAAGGUGGCAAUUGAAGAAGAGAAGUUGAAAGUCCUCAGAGAGAAAAUGUGCCUGAAGAAGAUGGAGCAAGAAUAUAAGAUCAUGUUCAUGGACAUCAGUGGGCUAAGUGAGACACAAAGAAAGUAUGUGGAAUUAACGCGUGCGCGGAUCCUAGCAUCAAGGAUGGGAGCGGGUGCGGUUGGGAGUGGAAAUAGGACUGGGUGA